AUUGAACGCUGGCGGAAUGCUUUACACAUGCAAGUCGAACGGCAGCACGGACUUCGGUCUGGUGGCGAGUGGCGAACGGGUGAGUAAUAUAUCGGAACGUGCCCAGUCGUGGGGGAUAACGUAGCGAAAGUUACGCUAAUACCGCAUACGAUCUAUGGAUGAAAGCGGGGGAUCGCAAGACCUCGCGCGAUUGGAGCGGCCGAUAUCAGAUUAGGUAGUUGGUGGGGUAAAGGCUCACCAAGCCAACGAUCUGUAGCUGGUCUGAGAGGACGACCAGCCACACUGGAACUGAGACACGGUCCAGACUCCUACGGGAGGCAGCAGUGGGGAAUUUUGGACAAUGGACGCAAGUCUGAUCCAGCCAUUCCGCGUGCAGGAUGAAGGCCCUCGGGUUGUAAACUGCUUUUGUACGGAACGAAAAGGUCUCCAUUAAUACUGGGGGCUCAUGACGGUACCGUAAGAAUAAGCACCGGCUAACUACGUGCCAGCAGCCGCAGUAACAC
rnacentral:rRNA from 1 species